rnacentral:rRNA from 1 species
UACGUAGGUGGCAAGCGUUGUCCGGAAUUAUUGGGCGUAAAGCGCGCGCAGGCGGUCCUUUAAGUCUGAUGUGAAAGCCCACGGCUCAACCGUGGAGGGUCAUUGGAAACUGGGGGGCUUGAGUGCAGGAGAGAAGAGUGGAAUUCCACGUGUAGCGGUGAAAUGCGUAGAGAUGUGGAGGAACACCAGUGGCGAAAGCGGCUUCCUGGUCCAGCACCGACGUUCAGGCACGAAAGCGUGGGGAGCAAACAGG